UACAGAGGUGGCAAGCGUUGCUCGGUAUCACUGGGCUUAAAGGGCGCGUAGGCGGUGCGGCACGGUUCGGGUGAAAUCCCUCGGCUCAACCGAGGAAUGGCCUGGGCAACGACCGCGCUUGACGGCAUCAGGGGGAGAUGGAACUCUCGGUGGAGCGGUGAAAUGCGUAGAUAUCGAGAGGAACGCCGGUGGCGAAAGCGAUCUCCUGGGGUGCCUGUGACGCUGAGGCGCGAAAGCUAGGGGAGCAAACGGG
rnacentral:rRNA from 1 species